rnacentral:rRNA from 1 species
AUUGAACGCUGGCGGCAGGCCUAACACAUGCAAGUCGAACGAGUGGCGGACGGGUGAGUAAUGUCUGGGAAACUGCCCGAUGGAGGGGGAUAACUACUGGAAACGGUAGCUAAUACCGCAUACCAUCGGAUGUGCCCCGAUGGGAUUAGCUAGUCGGUGGGGUAACGGCUCACCUAGGCGACGAUCCCUAACUGGUCUGAGAGGAUGACCAGCCAGACUGGAACUGAAAAACGGUCCAGACUCCUACGGGAGGCAGAAGUGGUGAAUAGUGCACAAUGGGCGCAAGCCUGAUGCAGCCAUGCCGCGUGUAGGAAGAAGGCCUGCGGGUUGUAAAGUACUUUCAGCGAGGAGGCGUUACUCGCAGAAGAAGCACCGGCUAACUCCGUGCCAGCAGCCGCGGUAAUUC